GGGGGCAGGGGGCAAGUGAAACUCGCUGCUGCUGCCGCUGCUGCCUCUCAGCCGCAGGAAGCCCUGGGAGUUAAUAUUGCAGUCAUCAUAGGCAGAGCUUGCUGCUUUUGCAUGGUUUUGCCUUUUUUUCCUACUCUCCUCCCCGUCCACAGCAGGGUGUGUGGAAGUGAGUGGCUACAUGGUACUAGUUGCCAGCUGGAGUUAAACCAUGACAGGGAGAUGGAACAAGGUAUACUCCAUGAGUAAGGCUUUCUCCAUGCUUUGAAGAGCUCCCAGAGACUUGUGAUUUGAACUGGAGAGUCUUCCAUGUCAAGACAAGAUGAACUGUGCCCUGAACAUGCCUACUCCUUGAAGUAUAAAGCAGAUCUGGAAAACAGCUUCAUUUGAGUCAGGCUCAAACUUAAAUUGAGUGCUGUAGCUAAACCAGAAGCAUUUGUGAAGGGACUCCAGCACAUAGCAUCUUGUGGGAGACUGAAGGGCCACUGGAGAGCUAUGAGGUCAAAAAGGAGCUGUCUAGAGAAGAGGAGAGAGUUGGCUAUGCUGAAAUGGAAUUUUAUUCCUGGAAUUUCUCAAGAAGAUUUAUAUUUUUAAUAAAUAACUGGGUGCCAAA